rnacentral:rRNA from 1 species
GAUUACCCGCUGAACUUAAGCAUAUCACUAAGCGGAGGAAAAGAAACUAACAAGGAUUCCCUUAGUAACGGCGAGUGAACAGGGAAGAGCCCAGCACCGAAGCCUGAGACUAUUUGGUUUCUAGGCAAUGUGGUGUUCAGGUCGUUGUCCGGAGAUACUGUCUCACCCUAAGUCCACUUUUGAGUGCGGCUUUUACCUGUCCCAGAGAGGGUGAAAGGCCCGUAAGGUGAGAAGCAGAUUGGCCAGUAUUUCCCUAGACAGACCUUGGAGUCGGGGUUGUUUGUGAAUGCAGC